rnacentral:rRNA from 1 species
CCUACGGGUGGCAGCAGUGAGGAAUAUUGGUCAAUGGGCGUAAGCCUGAACCAGCCAAGUCGCGUGAGGGAUGAAGGUUCUAUGGAUCGUAAACCUCUUUUACAAGGGAAUAAAGUGUGGGACGUGUCCUAUUUUGUAUGUACCUUAUGAAUAAGGAUCCGCUAACUCCGUGCCAGCAGCCGCGGUAAUACGGAGGAUCCGAGCGUUAUCCGGGUUUAUUGGGUUUAAAGGGUGCGUAGGCGGCGUUUUAAGUCAGCGGUGAAAGUCUGUGGCUAAACCAUAGAAGUGCCGUUGAAACUGGGGGGCUUGAGUGUGUGUGAGGCAGGCGGAAUGCGUGGUGUAGCGGUGAAAUGCGUAGAUAUCACGCAGAACCCCGAUGGCGAAGGCAGCCUGCCGAGCCAUGACUGACGCUGAUGCACGAAAGCGUGGGGAUCAAACAGGAUUAGAUACCCCUGUAGUC